rnacentral:rRNA from 2 species
ACAUGACUCUCGGCAACGGAUAUCUCGGCUCUCGCAUCGAUGAAGAACGUAGCGAAAUGCGAUACCUGGUGUGAAUUGCAGAAUCCCGCGAACCAUCGAGUCUUUGAACGCAAGUUGCGCCCGAGGCCAUUCGGCUAAGGGCACGCCUGCCUGGGCGUCACGC